ACCAGCCCAGGCUGGAUGCAUGAGACAAGUGCUCGGGCCUGGUGCACUGGGAAGACCCAGAGGAAUCGGGUGGGGAGAGGGGUGGGAGGGGGGAUCGGGAUGGGAAAUACUUGUGGAUCCGUGGCUGAUUCGUGUCGGUGUAUGACAAGAACCGCUACAGUGUUGUGAAGUAAUUAGCCUCCAACUAAUGAAAAUAAAUUAAAAAAAAAAAGAUAAUUAUUCUCUUUCCAUUCCACGAAAAGUGAGAUAGUGAGGUGAUAUCUGGGAGAUAGUGAGGGACAGGGAAGCCUGGCGUGCUGCUGUUCAUGGGGUCGCAGAGAGUUGGACCCGACUCAACAAAUGUGAGAGCGGGCAUGUUUCUCACCAGAAAUAAAACAGGAUUUGUUAACAUUUUGGAGUUGAGUCAACUAGGGUUCUUUGCCUUCUCAGCACUCUGGUGGAUUAAAAACACAAAUAGUGCAAUAGUUUAUUCAGCUUGUUUUGGUGGUCAUGCCAAAGGCAAAAGUCCUUUGUGAUGUUAAUAUAAAAAAUCAGAAGAAAUCCCUCGAAUAGAGUUAUAAAAGGGUUUCCAGUGACAAUUGGUGCUUUCUCCAAUGCCACUGCGAUGCCGGCUAUAGAAAGUCUAUCAGUUCACUAUAUGUGUCAGAUAUUUAUAUUUAUCGGUUCUAAAUGCAUCAGAACAGAAGGCAAGGAGUGGCCUGAAAUCUUGAAAAAGAAAAGGCAUGAAAAAAAAAAAAAAAGAAAAGGCAUGAAGUUGGCUGCCCUGGUGCUGGAGAACAGGAAAUAGAAAACAAGGCAGUCUUGUCCAGGUUGAUAACCUAUCUCAUCAUUUGGACAGAGAGCUCAAUCCCUUCUGCUCAGAGCGUUCAGAAAUCUGACCUACAAAGAGCCUGGCUCUACCAAUGGACGCACCAUGCUCUAAUCAACUGAGCUAAGCUGAUACAACAAAAAAUUUUUAAACCUCACUGAUGGACUUCCCUGGUGGCGUAGUGGAUAGGAAUCCGCCUGCCAAUGCAGGGGACACGGGUUCUUUCCCUGAUCUAGGAAGAUUCCAUAUACUGCAGAGCAACUAAGUCCCUGUGCCCCAAGUACUGAGCUCACACUCUAGAGCCUGCUGCCGCAACUACUGAAGCCUUGGCAUCCCAGAGCCUGCUGCCGCAAGUACUGAAGCCUGUGCAUUUGGAGCCUGUGCGCUGCGACAAGAGAAGCCAUGGCAAUAAGAAACCCACGUACCAUAACGAAGAGAAGCCCCCGCUUGUCACAGCUAGAUAAAAGCCCG